rnacentral:rRNA from 1 species
GCUCAGUCGUAACAAGGAUAACACAGUAGAUUUGAUCCUGGCGUCAGUCGUUAACAAGGUAACCAGUAGAUUUGUAUGCGCUGCGCGUACACGACUCGCUAACGAGAGAGAUAUAUCGCUAGCAUAUAUUGCACUGCGCAUGAGACCUCACGUUCAGCGGGCGAAGAGAUUUAUCGCCGAAAGAUCGGCCCGCGUCUGAUUAGCUAGUUGGUGAGGUAAUGGCUCACCAAGGCGACGAUCAGUAGCUGGUCUGAGAGGAUGAUCAGCCACAUUGGGACUGAGACACGGCCCAAACUCCUACGGGAGGCAGCAGUGGGGAAUAUUGGACAAUGGGCGAAAGCCUGAUCCAGCCAUGCCGCGUGAGUGAUGAAGGCCCUAGGGUUGUAAAGCUCUUUUGUGCGGGAAGAUAAUGACGGUACCGCAAGAAUAAGCCCCGGCUAACUUCGUGCCAGCAGCCGCGGUAAUACGAAGGGGGCUAGCGUUGCUCGGAAUCACUGGGCGUAAAGGGUGCGUAGGCGGGUUUCUAAGUCAGAGGUGAAAGCCUGGAGCUCAACUCCAGAACUGCCUUUGAUACUGGAAGUCUUGAGUAUGGCAGAGGUGAGUGGAACUGCGAGUGUAGAGGUGAAAUUCGUAGAUAUUCGCAAGAACACCAGUGGCGAAGGCGGCUCACUGGGCCAUUACUGACGCUGAGGCACGAAAGCGUGGGGAGCAAACAGGAUUAGAUACCCUGGU